rnacentral:lncRNA from 1 species
UAUUGUCUUCCUCCCAGCCUUAUAACAACACACCAUGACAGAAGCACAUCCGAAUUAUUUAGUCCAACAUAAGCAUAUAUAUUACAUGCAUCCUUCUUUCUAUUCUCAUUUGCUAUAGUACUGAGAGAUGUUGCUCACUAGCCACAGCGGCAAUCCACGCAAGCACAGGUAGCACCGCACUUGCAAUUGCCCUCGGGUUCAGCAGCAGCUGGGGCAUUGACGACAUUGUCUGAAUAGCUGAAAGAUAUGACAUGGAACAAACGUUAUUUUAGGAUCUGUGCACAUGAAUGAUGAAAACUAGAGCUUCCUUCCAUAAGUCUUUAAGGUCUAAGUUAGCCCAUUUUCUUAAAAUAAUAAUAAUAAUAAUAAAAGAAAGAAAGAAAGAGAGGAAUAAGCGUUAGCCAUGAGAGUGUUUCAUGGAUUGACCUGGUCCAAACUUGAGCACAAAAGUGUGAUCACAGGAUUUCUUGACCUAAGGUUUUUUUGGAGGGGAAUAUGUGAGAACUUCAACGAUCACAAUUACUUGGGUCAAACAUUAUAGAAACAUUACCCCACCAAAAUAUCUCCUGCCAUAUGGAUUGGUUCAACUAUAGGGCUAUAGUUUAAUUUGUCUAAUAUAUUUACUUGAAGCAAAGAGAGAUUUGUACCUCUUCUCGGUCUCAAUGAUCUCGAUGCCAUAGCUGUUUCCCUUCUUCCUGCAAAUUUCAGGUCAGUUUCUUUAUUAGUAUGCUAAAAUUAACAAGAAAAAUCUAUUUAUCACGUCCAAUGAAAGGUUUCUUUCUGUUCUUCCACCAAAUUUUAGCGUAUCUUACGUGAGUGGACAUAUGCAGAUAUGCUAUGUUAUUCCCACUAAAGUUCUCUUCAAAAAAUAAAAAAAGAAACAAAAAAUCCAGCCAAACGAUCUUUAGGAAGAUUUUAUCUGAACUGAACCUAGCAAACUUUUGGAUGUGAAAGAUCUGAAACUCAAAAAAAUUCUGAAAUUGAUAGAAUUCUCAUAAAUUUUCUGAUUAUUAUGAUGUAGAAAGAAAGGUAUUAUUAGUCUUGCAUUGAUUGUGACUCAAGGGAUACUUUGACUUAUAUAGAAAGGGAUCAUCCUUUCCCACGUGAGGUG